AUUGAACGCUGGCGGCAUGCUUUACACAUGCAAGUCGAACGGUAACAGGUUAAGCUGACGAGUGGCGAACGGGUGAGUAAUGCAUCGGAACGUGCCCGGUCGUGGGGGAUAACGCAGCGAAAGCUGCGCUAAUACCGCAUACGAUCUGAGGAUGAAAGCGGGGGACCGUAAGGCCUCGCGCGAUCGGAGCGGCCGAUGUCAGAUUAGGUAGUUGGUGAGGUAAAGGCUCACCAAGCCAACGAUCUGUAGCUGGUCUGAGAGGACGACCAGCCACACUGGGACUGAGACACGGCCCAGACUCCUACGGGAGGCAGCAGUGGGGAAUUUUGGACAAUGGGCGAAAGCCUGAUCCAGCAAUGCCGCGUGCAGGAAGAAGGCCUUCGGGUUGUAAACUGCUUUUGUACGGAGCGAAAAGGCUCUCUCUAAUACAGGGGGCUCAUGACGGUACCGUAAGAAUAAGCACCGGCUAACUACGUGCCAGCCGCCGCCGUAACAC
rnacentral:rRNA from 1 species